ACAGAGUGUGUACCUGCAGGACCUAAAAAUACAACUUCAUUUUCUGCUCUUUUCUUUUUUUCUUAUUAAAGACUUACUGUGUCAGAAAGUCAACUCUGUAGUGGACAAGUGACUCCAUGCCUGGUAAUAGUUGUCUCCUCCCUCGAGUUCUUGCUUUAUUGAGGUAUAUACGAUAUCGUGCAGGGAGAAGAAGCUGGUGGAUGACUCUGGUCAUUUCUGGACAUGCAGCCUUUGGGGUGAUUCUGUCGAUUCACUGGGCAAAACCCUGAGUCUUUGUAUGGGUG